AAAGUCGUAACAAGGUAACCGUAGGUGAACCUGCGGUUGGAUCAUUAACAAAAUGAUAAGAGUCCGGACCAUAAAACGUCCUGGGCUUUUAUAAACACCUGUGAACUGUAAUUGUCUCUGGUGGGCUUUAAAAGGCCCACCAUCAAUAAUUUGAACUUUUAUAUCAUGAAUUAGUUUUUAAUUAAUAUUUAAUCUAAAACAACUUUUGACAACGGAUCUCUAGGCUCUC
rnacentral:misc_RNA from 1 species